rnacentral:piRNA from 1 species
ACGAGCAGUAUGCUUGGGAGUCCUCUG